rnacentral:rRNA from 1 species
GACGAACGCUGGCGGCGUGCUUAACACAUGCAAGUCGAACGGAAAGGCCCUGCUUGCAGGGUACUCGAGUGGCGAACGGGUGAGUAACACGUGGGUGAUCUGCCCUGCACUUCGGGAUAAGCCUGGGAAACUGGGUCUAAUACCGGAUAUGACCUUCCAUGUAGUGUGGGGGGUGGAAAGAUUUAUCGGUGUGGGAUGAGCCCGCGGCCUAUCAGCUUGUUGGUGGGGUAAUGGCCUACCAAGGCGUCGACGGGUAGCCGGCCUGAGAGGGUGGACGGCCACAUUGGGACUGAGAUACGGCCCAGACUCCUACGGUAGGCAGCAGUGGGGAAUAUUGCACAAUGGGCGGAAGCCUUAUGCAGCGACGCCGCGUGGGGGAUGACGGCCUUCGGGUUGUAAACCUCUUUCGACAGGGACGAAGCUUCGGUGACGGUACCUGUAUAAGAAGCACCGGCUAACUACGUG